rnacentral:lncRNA from 1 species
GGUUUAAAAAAAUAAUUUUAAUUAACUUUUACUAAUUUUUUAUUUUUUUUUUUUUUUUUUUUUUUUUUUGUUAAAGCGCAUUUUUUCAAUAAAAACCGUGUAAUUUCACCAGUUAAUGGUAGGCUAUGACCUAUUGGUAUAAAAUUGAUUUCGAGAGAAUCACUGGGUAAAAAGUAAAUAAUAUAUUAAUCUUUAAUAUUUUGGAAAUUGAAUUUACAUGUGGAUUCGUCUGUUUAAUGUGUAGACAUCGCGGAAGAAAAAUAGUCUUUGGAUGGAGCUAGGUCCCAUCUAAGAGAAAUCAGGCCAUAGCUAGAAGAUCGGCGGUGGUGGGUAUCAGCUGGGAACUUCCGAAUCUUAGUCUUCUGUUGUUAGAAGGCGGGACCCUGACCGGUCUUCUUUCGGACAGAGCGUUGAACAGGCGGAACUGGAAGGGACCAAAAUCGAAUUGGGAAUCGUCGUCUCGGUAUCCGUGGUGGUUAAAAUUUUCGGGAUGGGUCCGGUGAUAGCGAAUGUUGUUUUCGGAUCCUUCUUCCUCUUUGUAUAUUCCGCCUUUGACCACCUCGAAGUUUCCGCUGCCCAGAACGUCCAGACCUUUAUCUCUGGCUUCGGACGCGUGAUAGUAGGGUCCGGGUCUUUCUGGCGAAUAGUCUCUGUAACCCCCUUCACCUUCGGACGAAUCGCCGUCCGCGUUGAAAACCGGGAAGGGAUUAAAGAAACCGACGUCGGUUAAGGGGAGGAAUUCCGUUCCGGACAUUUUCGCGUCGGAAUCGGACGAAGACAUUCUUCGAUCGGCCACUGUUUCGUCCGCUACGUAGGUGUAAUUAGUCACGUGAUAAUUGGAAUGUCUUAAAUUUUUGAUGGUUCCCGCCACCGACUUUUUCGACUGGUGACUGGUCUGCGUUUGACUUUGAUCGGACGGAUCGGUCUUUUUGGUGGUCUUUCUAGUCAUUUUUUCUCCUUGGAAAUCUUCUAUCACCAAGUAAGUUUUGGGUGAAGGAGUGGACAACGAAUCGUCCGAUUGGCUGACACUAACGGAGAUGGAAGUCUGCGUCUCCUGUGCGGGGGAGUCGUCCUUUUCUCCUCGGUAUACCGGACGGAGAGCGUCGGUAGUGUUGGAAUUUAAGGCCGUAAAGAUGAUAUAGCCCGGAUCCCGAAUUUUCGUCCGACUACUGUCUGGCUGGGACGGAAAUCUUUUCGGGUCGAAAGAAUACGUUCUAGAUUCCGAAUCGUCUGUACUGCUGACGCUGUAAGUGGAUAUAGAAUACUUGACGCUAGUAAGAUUCUUGUUACGCGUGUAAGGUGCUCGAGUACUCAGAUCGGGUGGUACGAAAGAAGUCGUGUUGGCUAUUUCCACGACCGUAUCAUCUGUUUGAUUAACUACGGCCCUUGUCUUAUUUUCGUUUGUAUCGUUCAAAAAACUGACUGGUUUUAAAAUAGACGACGCCGAUGCCGGAUCGUUCAAAGUCGAGUUAUCUUUUUUUUCUGACGCCGUAGUAGUAGUAGUAGUAGUGGUGGUGGUAGUGCUGGUGGUGGUAAUGGUGUUGGUGGUCGAAGCUUGGGUGGUAGCGGGCCGGGAAGUGACGCUUUCUGUAGUAAUGGCCGGAUUAGUUGUAGGAAUAGUGGUAGUAGAAGCCUGGCUAGUCGGAACAAUCAUCAUCAUCUUGUUAGAGAACUGACGAGUGAGAAAUCUGGAAAACAAGUCUUGGAAAUUCUUGGAUUUUACCGAAGGAAAAUUGUCGGAAUUUUGAUAAAAGAUGAUGAUACUCUGUCCUUUGGGUAAGUCCCGAACUCGGCUUUCCUUUUUAGGAGAAACCGGAGUAGUGGAAGUUCGUUCUUUCAGAAACGGGGACAGAAGAGAGGCAACUUUUGAAGGAUCUACCGUGGUAGGACUCUUUCCCGGUGGAAGACUGUAAUAAAUAAUCCGUCUACGUUCUGAAAUGCCAAAAGGUUUAUGUAAUUUUUACAUUGGAAAAAUGAAAAUAAUCGAUGAUAAUAAUAAUAAUAAUAAUGGAAAUUACUCACCCAAAUUUUUUACUUUAAGCGAAUG